UUCGUUUAUGGGUUUCCUAAUAUGUUAGCUUUUCUUUAAAAUAGAGCACAAAUAUGAUGAAAUUGAGAGGUGACUACAAAAGAAGAACCGGGUAUGUGGUGUUACUGGUCAAUGACAUCCAAGGUCUUAAAGAAAGCUGAUACUGGAAUUGCAGUUGUUGAUGCUAAAGAUGUCUCUGUGAGUGCUUGUGAUAUUUGUUCUCACCGGUCCUGGGCUGAGUGUCAUCAUUGCUGCGGUCCUUACCAGCCGAGCUCAUUUCCCAGACGACGAAGAAUUACGCGGUAGGCACCUAGGUAUUUUCUUGCGACGGUCAUCUACUUCUUUCAUGCGCAUUGAUUUCUUUCACUGGUCCUUGCUGAUUCCUGUCCCUUCACGGGUCUAUGCUGUUUCUAAUACAGUUUGUACUGUUGAAAGUACUGCUUCUGUGACCGAAUCAUCGGUUUACUACUUACGUUUAGGCAAAACAUUGUUCUCGUGUCAGUGCUAAAUGCUUCUUCUCAUCUUUGUAGCUCGCCUUUAAGCUUAUUGCGCUGACAUGAAAAUUCGAUUUCUCACCCUUCAUGGUUCUGAUUAUUACCAUCCUCAGUGUUGGUGAGUUUUGCAUUAAGAGGAAAGAGCAUUCUUGCUUACUUUGAGACCUGUCCAUAUUGGGUACAGUUAUGACAAUAUCAAAGGACCGAGCGAAGCCAUCCCCAAUAUCUGACAGUUGGAAAUUGAAGGAGAUUUGCGCUAAUGGCUUCAUGUAUGGCAGUUACUUGGCAUUGAUGAGCAUCUUCUUUUUCUGGAAAACGAAAGAUGCUGAUUUCUUCUCUGUUCAAUUCCCAUGCCGACGCAGGACAAAUUUGGUGUGCAGCCAAUUAGGCACAGUGACGGUGAAGUGAUGGCUGCUCUGUACCUGAAAGUCAGUAUUAUGAGCCAGGCCCUCAUCUUUGUCACUCGAUCUCGUGGCUGGUUCUUUGUCGAGCGACCUGGACUCUUCUGGACUCUUGUUGGUCUCCGCUUUUCUCGUUGCUCGACUUGUAUGAUUUUGUAAUCCUCGUCUUUCUUUUUCCGACAGGUUUCAAGAGAUACAAAUGCAACUAUCUAUAGUGAAGGAAAUCUUAAAAAGGGUAAAAUUCGUUUGGCAGGCUGCAACUCUGAUAGCUGUGUAUGCCGGCUGGAGUUUUGCAGGUAUCGAGGGAAUAGGUUGGGAUUGGGCUCUAGUCAUCUGGCGAUACAGUAUCGUUUUCUUUCCCCCUCUUGAUUUCUUGAAGUUCGCUAUCCGAUAUGUGCUCAGUGGGAAGGCAUGGGACGACCUCCCGGAGAACAUGACCGAAUUCACUGCCAACAAUUUUCGAGGACUCCAACCACCUGAAACAACCAACCUUUUUGAGUUACCCGAGAUGACCGAGCAGGGCGCCAAGUAUAUGUUGCACGGUCGGUCAGACCCUGGCUCUGCAUUGGUCGUGCAGUGUCAGUGGUGAAGUCGGACAUUGUCAACAUACAACAACAACCAAAUCUACACAGUUUUUAUCUUUCUCACUACAAGUGAGAUGCAUGGAAGAGGAGCAACAAGGCUUGAUGUUUUCCUAUCAUACAUGACGAUGAAGAUUAAGCGUUCUUUCCUACUUUCUUCAUGUGUCUUUACAGUUUCGGAUAUGUUUUUUUGACAUUGUGGGAGCUUGUUCAUCUUGACAGCCUCCAAAUGUGAACUUUAAUUGAUUGGAACAGAUAAAAUAAUUUCAACAGUUCAGUUACGGUUCAGCUUUAAAAUGUGUUUGUAUUGGUUGGGUUUGAAAAAGACAACUAGUUUGGUUCUCUGUUCUCCCU